GGCUCAGAAGCAGCCACCAUUUAAAGAGUGCGUAAUAGCUCACUGGUCGAGAGACCCUGCGCCGAAGAUUCCCGGGGCUAAAGUACGAAACCGAAGCUGUGGCUGUAUACGUAAAGUAUACGGGGUAGGGGAGCGUUCCCAUAGGGUAGAAGUCGAACUGGAAGGUUCGGUGGACUUGUGGGAAGUGAGAAUGUUGGUAUGAGUAGCGAAAAGAAAGGUGAGAAUCCUUUCCACCGAAAGCAUAAGGAUUCCUGAGCAACGAUCGUCGUCUCAGGGUAAGUCGGGACCUAAUCCGAGGCAGAGAGCGUAGGAGAUGGACAACUGGUUGAUAUUCCAGUACCGGUAGUAAUUGUUUGAGCAAUGGAGUGACACAGAAGGGCAGGCAAGCAUGCGAAUGGAAGAGCAUGUGUAAGCGUGUAGGGUGGUGCAUAGGCAAAUCCGUGCACUGAAAGCCUGAGGCGUGAUGCGGAGUGAGCAGAGAUGCGAGCGAAGUUGUUGACCCCACACUGUCGAGAAAAGCUUCUAGUGAGAGAGCUACCGCCCGUACCGUAAACCGACACAGGUAUGCGGGGAGAGAAUCCUAAGGUGCGCGGGAGAACCCUCGUUAAGGAACUCGGCAAAAUGUACCCGUAACUUCGGGAUAAGGGUAGCCACUGUUGUGAAGUCCCAUGCGGAUGGAGCAUAGAGUGGUCGCAGAGAAGAGGCCCAAGCGACUGUUUACCAUAAACACAGGUGCCUGCUAAAGCGAAAGCUGACGUAUAGGUGCUGACACCUGCCCAGUGCCGGAAGGUUAAGGAAGGAUGUUCGGAUUAGUCCAAAGCAUUCGACUGAAGCCCCGGUGAACGGCGGCCGUAACUAUAACGGUCCUAAGGUAGCGAAAUUCCUUGUCGGGUAAGUUCCGACCCGCACGAAAGGUGUAACGAUUUGGGCACUGUCUCAACGAGGGACCCGGUGAAAUUGAAAUACCUGUGAAGAUGCAGGUUACCCGCGACUGGACAGAAAGACCCCAUGGAGCUUUACUGUAACCUGACAUUGGGUUUUGAUACAUUACGUACAGGAUAGGUGGGAGGCAUGGAAAGCUGGACGCUAGUCUGGCUGGAGCCGACGUUGGGAUACCACCCUUGAUGUAUUGAAAUUCUAACCGCGAGAGUAACGAAAUCCGGGACAGUGUCAGGCGGGCAGUUUGACUGGGGCGGUCGCCUCCGAAAGAGUAACGGAGGCGCCCAAAGGUUCCCUCAGCGCGGCCGGAAAUCGCGCGAAGAGUGUAAAGGCAGAAGGGAGCUUGACUGCGAGUCAAACACGACGAGCAGGUACGAAAGUAGGGCUUAGUGAUCCGGUGGUACCGAGUGGAAGGGCCAUCGCUCAACGGAUAAAAGCUACCCUGGGGAUAACAGGCUAAUCUCUCCCAAGAGUCCAUAUCGACGGGGAGGUUUGGCACCUCGAUGUCGGCUCAUCACAUCCUGGGGCUGAAGUCGGUCCCAAGGGUUGGGCUGUUCGCCCAUUAAAGUGGUACGUGAGCUGGGUUCAGAACGUCGUGAGACAGUUCGGUCCCUAUCCAUCGCGGGCGCAAGAGAUUUGAAGGGGGCUGCUCCUAGUACGAGAGGACCGGAGUGGACGAACCGCUGGUGUACCAAUUAUCCCGCCAGGGGUACAGUUGGGUAGCUACGUUCGGAAAGGAUAAACGCUGAAAGCAUCUAAGCGUGAAACCAGCCUUAAGAUGAGAUCUCUCAUAGAGCAAUCUAGUAAGACACCUUAAAGAAGAUGAGGUUGAUAGGUCGGGAGUGUAAGUACAGCAAUGUAUUGAGCGGACCGAUACUAAUAUGUCGAGGGCUUGACUUA
rnacentral:rRNA from 1 species